rnacentral:rRNA from 1 species
ACUCCUACGGGAGGCAGCAGUGGGGAAUUUUGGACAAUGGGCGAAAGCCUGAUCCAGCAAUGCCGCGUGUGUGAAGAAGGCCUUCGGGUUGUAAAGCACUUUUGUCCGGAAAGAAAUCCUUGGCUCUAAUACAGUCGGGGGAUGACGGUACCGGAAGAAUAAGCACCGGCUAACUACGUGCCAGCAGCCGCGGUAAUACGUAGGGUGCGAGCGUUAAUCGGAAUUACUGGGCGUAAAGCGUGCGCAGGCGGUUUGCUAAGACCGAUGUGAAAUCCCCGGGCUCAACCUGGGAACUGCAUUGGUGACUGGCAGGCUAGAGUAUGGCAGAGGGGGGUAGAAUUCCACGUGUAGCAGUGAAAUGCGUAGAGAUGUGGAGGAAUACCGAUGGCGAAGGCAGCCCCCUGGGCCAAUACUGACGCUCAUGCACGAAAGCGUGGGGAGCAAACAGGAUUAGAAACCCGAGUAGUCCCAUGAU